AUUGAACGCUGGCGGCAUGCCUUACACAUGCAAGUCGAACGGUAACAGGUUAAGCUGACGAGUGGCGAACGGGUGAGUAAUGUAUCGGAACGUGCCCAGUCGUGGGGGAUAACUGCUCGAAAGAGCAGCUAAUACCGCAUACGACCUGAGGGUAAAAGCGGGGGCUCGCAAGACCUCGCGCGAUUGGAGCGGCCGAUAUCAGAUUAGGUAGUUGGUGAGGUAAAGGCUCACCAAGCCGACGAUCUGUAGCCGGUCUGAGAGGACGACCAGCCACACUGGGACUGAGACACGGCCCAGACUCCUACGGGAGGCAGCAGUGGGGAAUUUUGGACAAUGGGCGCAAGCCUGAUCCAGCCAUGCCGCGUGCGGGAAGAAGGCCUUCGGGUUGUAAACCGCUUUUGUCAGGGAAGAAAAGGUUCUGGCUAAUACCUGGGACUCAUGACGGUACCUGAAGAAUAAGCACCGGCUAACUACGUG
rnacentral:rRNA from 1 species